ensembl:lncRNA
CUGAUCCAUGGCACCUCACCUACCCUUAAAAGACAGCGUGGCUACUGAAGCAGCUAAUGGCGGAUACAUUUUUUUAUGCAACAAUCGUCAUGUUUGGUCACGUUGGGGACAUAAACAGACACUGAUGUUUGGAGCGCAUGUGGAGGCUAGCGCUGAUGCAGACCCAAAUGCUGAGCCAAGGAGAAAAUCUGCAAGAUUAUUAAAAUUGAAAGAGACAGAGGAAAAGCCAGAAAAGCCAGAAAAGAAAAAGGCACCUGCCAAGAAAGAUGUGAAAAAACCAGCAAAGGCUAAGCCAGAGGAGAAGAAAGAAGAACCUCAGGCAGAGACAGAAGAGGCUCCAGCAGAAAACGGGGAGGCCAAAGCUGAGGAGACCACAGCUGCAGAGGAACAGGCGAACGGCACAGAGGAACAGCCAGACGGUGAAGAGGAACAGCCGAAUGGCGAAGAGGAAAAAGAAGCAGAGUAGAAGCGAUACCUCUGAACUCAUUUGCCAAUGCUCCCUGUACCUCCUUUGUUGUAAAAUGCAGAGAAUAUUUUUAUCUACUAUUUUCUUAUGACAACAAUGUUUUUAGGGAUGUGAUUGCAUUUUUUUCCUAAAUACUACAACUUCCAUUCACUCUCAUGACUUGUGUGAAGGGAAGGUCUCUGUCAUUAUGUUCUUUUGGUCAUUUUGUUGUUAGAUUGUAGUUUUGUUUUGUUUUUUUCUGCAUGGCAUGCAAUAAUGCCUUCAUCAGGAAUGGGAGAGUUUACCUGAAACAUUCCCAAAGAAUUUUAAGAGAUUUUGUAACCUGUACUGUGUUGAAUACACAUCAAAAUACUGUUUGUUUGAUAAUGGGAUGAUUUGAAAGUUUGAAGCUUGUAUUCUAUGCUUUAACAAAAUGCCUUGUUCACAAUGUUCACUUUCAUCAUUUUCACAAGGAGUCCGGGAGUUGGUUUUCACUUUAAGGUACAAUUGAGAACGGUUAAAUUAAUCAAUGUUCUAAGCUAUGCUCAAAACAAAAAUGCAUUACAGUUAGUCAUAUUUGAUAUGGUUUUGGGAUUUGUCUACCAAUGUACAGUUUCCUCCUUUAAAAAAAAAAAAAAUGUUUUCUUUGUUUUGGAUGGUAUGAAAUGCCAAUUAAAGUGGGGAAUUUCUUUUAAGUAUUUGUCUUUCAUCAGCUAUAUUGUAUUUAAGUCUGCCUGCAUUGAUCCAUUUACCAGGACAGAUUGCAGAUGUUUCUUUUCUGUUGCCUGGAAUGACGUACUGCUGCUCUUUUUGAUUCACUUUAGUGAGAUUUAGAUAAUAGGAAAAGAAUCCUUGAACUAAUGCCAAUUACUCUGAAUGUUGCAUUUCUCAUUUUGCUUUAUAAGAGAGCUAGUGAAGAGUCUGGCAUAUGGGGUUGAUACAUUUUUGAAAAGGUUGUUGCAUGUGCAUAUUGAACUUUGAUAAAAGAAUAUGGCCAGAUUAUUGUGCUAGGAUCAAGGCUGUGCAAAAGAAAAAAAAAAUGCCACUGAGCACUCACUGUGCUCUCCGGAUAUUAUAGUCCAGAAUGCUAUCUGGCUCUACAUUGUCUAUGCCUUUAAAACUGAUCAAGAACAUGCAUCAUGUAAGAAUUGUAUUAGCUGAUUUAAUGAAAGCCUUGAAACGAGGCAUUGUCAUGAAGAAGAAUCCACUUGAAGUCUUUGAUCGGCGGGUUAUUUCCUAUAAAGUAUUUU